rnacentral:rRNA from 1 species
UACGUAGGGUGCAAGCGUUAAUCGGAAUUACUGGGCGUAAAGCGUGCGCAGGCGGUUCGCUAAGACAGAUGUGAAAUCCCCGGGCUUAACCUGGGAACUGCAUUUGUGACUGGCGGGCUAGAGUACGGUAGAGGGGGAUGGAAUUCCGCGUGUAGCAGUGAAAUGCGUAGAUAUGCGGAGGAACACCGAUGGCGAAGGCAAUCCCCUGGACCUGUACUGACGCUCAUGCACGAAAGCGUGGGGAGCAAACAGG